UGAAUUUGUCCGUUGUAAAAGUGUAAAAAUUGCCGCAAAAAGCCAUUUUCUAACUUGAAGUAAAAAAAUCGCGACGAUGUAAAAAAUUGCUGCAAUUAAAGGUUAUUGCGGCGAUUUUAUUUCCAACAGACAUAAAAUCGCCGCAAAAAGCAUUAUUUUUUGAAG